GUUGCUUCUUCUGGUGAACAUCCUUUUUUAUAUUGAAGUUGGGGAUGUUCUUGUUUCCGAAGCAUAUAUAAAAUUCUUAUUUAGCCAGUUUUAAACAGCGUGCUGUAAUUUUUUAAGCUACAUUGCGCUACCUGUCUACUGGUACAAUG